GUACACGCUGUGACUAGCAUAUCAAUAAGCGGAGGAAAAGAAACUAACAAGGAUUCCCCUAGUAACGGCGAGUGAAGCGGGAAGAGCUCAAAUUUGAAAUCUUAAAGGGUUUCCCUUUACGAAUUGUAGUUUAAAGAAGUGUUUUCUGUUGAGGUUUUGGUAAAAGUUCUUUGGAAUAGGACAUCAUAGAGGGUGAGAAUCCCGUAUUUGACCUUUACUUUCAACUUUGUGAUACACUUUCAAAGAGUCGGAUUGUUUGGGAAUGCAGUCCAAAAUGGGUGGUAAAUUUCAUCUAAAGCUAAAUAUUGGCGAGAGACCGAUAGCGAACAAGUACCGUGAGGGAAAGAUGAAAAGAACUAUUGAAAAGAGAGUUAAACAGUACGUGAAAUUGUCAAAAGGGAAGCGUUUGACACCAGUGUUGUUUUUCUGAAAAUCAAUUAAAGAACUGUUUAUGCUAAGCUUGUUUAGACUUUAUCAGCUAAUCUGUUUAGUUUUGAGCUUUUCUUUAAUGCACUUUUCAGUUAACAAGUCAACAUCAAUUUCUUUUGCUGUAAAAAAGCUUGAGGAAGGUGGCUUGAGAUUCGUCUUAAGUGUUUAUAGCCUCUUGCCUAUGCAGUCGGAGAGAUUGAGGUCUGCAGCGUAGAUCCUUCGGGGCUAAAUGCAUUUGUGCUAAGUUAUAGCAUUUUAUAGACAACUUGUUGACUAUGAUUUGUCUUGUAGCUUACUCGCUUAUGUUAUUUUACCUACGCUUAGGAUGUUGAAGAUGUAGCACAUCAU
rnacentral:rRNA from 1 species